AACGAACGCUGGCGGCAUGCCUAACACAUGCAAGUCGAACGAGACCUUCGGGUCUAGUGGCGCACGGGUGCGUAACGCGUGGGAACCUGCCCUUAGGUUCGGAAUACUCCCCGAAAGGGGUGCUAAUACCGGAUAAUGUCUUCGGACCAAAGAUUUAUCGCCUUUGGAUGGGCCCGCGUUGGAUUAGCUAGUUGGUAGGGUAAAAGCCUACCAAGGCGACGAUCCAUAGCUGGUCUGAGAGGAUGAUCAGCCACACUGGGACUGAGACACGGCCCAGACUCCUACGGGAGGCAGCAGUGGGGAAUAUUGGACAAGGGGCGAAAGCCUGAUCCAGCAAUGCCGCGUGAGUGAUGAAGGCCUUAGGGUUGUAAAGCUCUUUUACCCGGGAUGAUAAUGACAGUACCGGGAGAAUAAGCUCCGGCUAACUCCGUG
rnacentral:rRNA from 1 species